UACGUAGGGGGCAAGCGUUGUCCGGAUUUAUUGGGCGUAAAGAGCGUGUAGGCGGUCAGGUAGGUCCGUUGUGAAAACUCGAGGCUCAACCUCGAGACGCCGAUGGAAACCAUCUGACUAGAGUCCGGAAGAGGCGAGUGGAAUUCCUGGUGUAGCGGUGAAAUGCGCAGAUAUCAGGAGGAACACCGAUUGCGAAGGCAGCUCGCUGGGACGUUACUGACGCUGAGACGCGAAAGCGUGGGGAGCAAACAGG
rnacentral:rRNA from 1 species